rnacentral:rRNA from 1 species
UACGGGGGGGGCAAGCGUUGUUCGGAAUUACUGGGCGUAAAGGGCUUGUAGGUGGCCAACUAAGUCAGACGUGAAAUCCCUCGGCUUAACCGGGGAACUGCGUCUGAUACUGGAUGGCUUGAGUGUGGGAGAGGGAUGCGGAAUUCCAGGUGUAGCGGUGAAAUGCGUAGAUAUCUGGAGGAACACCGGUGGCGAAGGCGGCGUCCUGGACCAACACUGACACUGAUGAGCGAAAGCCAGGGGAGCAAACGGG